GACGAACGCUGGCGGCGUGCUUAACACAUGCAAGUCGAACGAAGUGGCGAACGGGUGAGUAACGCGUAAUCAACCUGCUCUUCAGAGGGGGACAACAGCUGGAACCGACUGCUAAUACCGCAUACUGUAGGAGGGGAUUGAGGGUGAUUAGCUAGUUGGAGGGGUAACGGCCCACCAAGGCGAUGAUCAGUAGCCGGGCUGGGAGGAUGAACGGCCAACUUGGGACUGGGACACGGCCCAGACUCCUACGGGAGGCAGCAGUGGGGAAUCUUCCGCAAUGGACGAAAGGCUGACGGAGCAACGCCGCGGGAGGGAUGACGGCCUUCGGGUUGUAAAGCUCUGUUAAUCGGGACGCGGUACCGGAAUAGAAAGCCACGGCUAACUACGUGCCAGCCGCCGCGGUAAUUC
rnacentral:rRNA from 1 species